rnacentral:rRNA from 1 species
UACAGAGGUCCCAAGCGUUGUUCGGAUUCACUGGGCGUAAAGGGUGAGUAGGUGGUGGAUUAAGUCGGGUGUGAAAUCUCCGGGCUCAACCCGGAGCGUGCGCCCGAAACUGAUUCGCUAGAGGAUGGGAGGGGAGACUGGAAUUCUCGGUGUAGCAGUGAAAUGCGUAGAUAUCGAGAGGAACACCGGUGGCGAAGGCGAGUCUCUGGACCAUUCCUGACACUGAAUCACGAAAGCCGGGGGAGCAAAC